rnacentral:lncRNA from 1 species
UUUACUCUUCAUGACAGCUUACCACAUCUGUAAAGCAGUCAAUAAUACCAAUAAAAAUUAGCUUCACUGAAUAUUCACAGUCCCCUGACAUCAGUAGAGAAGGCAUAAGGGACAGAGUAAAACGAAAAAAAUCUGGGGCACUUUAAAGGAGAAAAUGACUUCAGAACAUCCUUCUGUUAAGCUGCACUGCAUCUUUACAUUUACCUCUAAGGGGUAGUAUAAACCUGCAGAAUGGAUUCCAAAAUAUAUUUUUCAGAAGAAAAGUAAUUAGAGUCGUUCUAACACUCUCAAUGAUAGCAUUACCUGAUUAAUUCUUGUUUCAGCAAUGCAGAGGGGAAGUAAACGAGAACAAAGUGUCACCUGUUGAUGGAUAUGACAGUUUACAGACUACAGCUUACCGCUGUGACCCAUUAAGUAGUCUUUGCCAAAGAAAUUCUACGAUUCAUACGUAGUAGCAUGCCAAUAGUUUCUUUUAUUCCUCUGCAUUGUAAAUGUUACCUGGGGCAUUUUACAACAACGGCUACUGAUCCAUACAAAUCAAGUAUCAACAAUCAAUUUAUCCCUGACAUCUCUUGCUAAGUAUGGCAUAUACUGAAAAAUAUGAACACUGACUUCUCUGGUGUUUAAGCUAACAUUCCUACUAAGAGUCAUGAACUAUAAUAAACCAUCAGGGCUACUAAGAACAUUACCACACUAUGAACAGUUGACGUUAAUAGCUACAUUUCAUUCUGUUGUGAAAACCAUCAAGAUGGCAGCGAAUGCUAGGAAUUAAUCUCACAUAUAAUCAGAGAUAGUGUAUAGCAGUGUACGCAGUAAGCUGAUGAGGGAUGUGAUGACAGAGAUGCACACUCCUCUCUACUCAUUCCCAGCUAGACCUUAAACAAAUGUUACACAAAUGUAUGCCAUAUUUUACAUUGGUUGAAGAACUGUCCCUGCCAUCAACAAUGGAACACCGCUCUACAAUUGAGGGCAAGGGACCAGGAGACUGCUGCUCCACGAUGUUCUUACCAAUGGCUGAAGUAUUGAUUAUUGACUAACAGGCCCCUGAAGGACUCACUGUAUGAUAAAAAACUUUGAAAUAUGUUCGGUUUUAUUACCAAGAUAAGAAGCACAAAUUCCAUCCUUUGACUCUGGCUUCAUUUUUUUUUCAGCUCUGAGAUCCAGCAACGGUUCUCACCCCUCAUUUUUAAGCUACUCAUGAAAGAUAUCGUUUCGGCAGAAUCUAUAAGCUCUUUGCAACAAUCAGUGAUUUAUUGAUUUUCAAAUCAGUGCACUUUUAAAAUAUGGAAAUGCAAUCUUAUGGUAAUCAAACUUAACAAUAAAUAAAAUGAUUACAAAGAAGCUGUGAUUUUG